rnacentral:rRNA from 2 species
CUUGGUCAUUUAGAGGAAGUAAAAGUCGUAACAAGGUCUCCGUUGGUGAACCAGCGGAGGGAUCAUUAAAGAGUUGCAAAACUCCCAACCAUUGUGAACGAACCGUUAUGCUCAGGCGGGCAGUGCUCUGUCUCUGCCAGCCGACGGCAUCAAACUCUUAAUUCAGUGGAUAUCUGAGUAGCUUAUUUAAUAAGUCAAAACUUUCAACAACGGAUCUCUUGGUUCUGGCAUCGAUGAAGAACGCAGCGAAAUGCGAUAAGUAAUGUGAAUUGCAGAAUUCAGUGAAUCAUCGAAUCUUUGAACGCACAUUGCGCCCGCUAGUAUUCUGGCGGGCAUGCCUGUUCGAGCGUCAUUUCAACCAUCAAGCCCCAGGCUUGUGUUGGGGACCUGCGGCUGCCGCAGCCCCCUAAAAGCAGUGGCGGUCUCGCUGUCAUACCGAGCGCAGUAGUUUAUCUUCGCUUUGGGCGUGGUGGCGAGUGCCGGCCGUGAAACACUUUUCUAAGGUUGACCUCGGAUCAGGUAGGAAUACCCGCUGAACUUAAGCAUAUCAAUAAGCGGAGGA